GUCAACGCAUUUCAAAGCAAAGUCUGUCACUAGAGACGUCGACGUCAUAAUGAAACAUUGUACAUUUCUUUCUUUUGUUACUUUAAUUGCACUUGCAACAGUGACUUAUGGUCUACCAAAACAAGUGUUAAACAGGAACUGUUUUAAUGCAAUGUCCUGCUCUGAUGAUCCAUGCUUGAUGUCUGAUUGUCCAGUUCGAUGUGUCCACACCUGUGAUUGUGGCUACAUCUGUGCCCCACAGUUCGGCUUUGCUAUACCAUAGACUUUGGACACAAACGUUGAAUCCAAUGUUUCUAUGCAUCUCUUCCUAUUGUCUCUACAUCUAUUAUAUUGAUAUGCUCAAUUCAUUUUUUACUUAUUUUAAUAUGAAUUCAAUUAGUAUUGUUCACCUUUUAUCUCUUGAAUAAAUGCUGAAUUAUUUUAAACGCUACCAUAAGCUGAUAAAAACAUUGAAAAAUAAAUUUGUACAUUUUUGUAUUUAUGUCUCGGACUUAGUAAAUGUCUUAGAAUUCAA